GUGACCUUUGUUAAUUCAAUGUUACAAAGUCUUGGAUUCGUUCUGUUUGCAAGUGGAACAGAUUUCCAAAUCACUCUGCAAUUAGUACAGUUUGAUCUAACCAGCCUAUCUCUGCAUGGGGUAGCCUUCUACUGAAACAGCAGGAUCGCUGUCAGAAAUGAAAUGUGUUUUCCAUACGGCUGAAAGUACGGCUGUGACACCUGCUUGCACUACAUCAUCUUUGGCAAAGGGAGUCCAACACCUUGGACGGGGCUCAGGCAGAGAAUCUGUGUCACACAAAAGGAGAGGAAUGGAAACAGCGUGAAACCAUCGGCAACAAAGGAAGGAGAACAAAAACAGGACAGAAGGGAUCAGAGACAGAGCCAAGUAUGAGGCAAAAAAACAGACCUGUGGAAAGCUGGAAAGAAAACAAAUAAACCAAGUAUGCACGCACUUGGUUCCUGGAGAAUGGGUUUAUGGAAAGACAUCACAGGCACAGAUCUAAUUUCCUUCUCAUUUCAUCAGCCGAUUCACCCAGAUUAAAACUCAGUACAUUUUGCAUGUCCAAACACCCAGGAUGCAUGAACUCAUUCUUCUGUAUCUGGAUGGAUUUUCACACCAAUGACAAAUACAAAUUAAUUGGAGCUUCUUCCUAUAAACUCAUAAGACAUGACUGACCGAUACACAGGACGCAGGUACUUUGGGUAAGAAAAUGUUAUUUUUUACAUUCAGAGGAUAGAUGUAAUUAAGAUUGUGUUACCACUGCCUGAUUUUAUUAUAAAGCUCACAGUUGCCUCUCUCCUUAAGUGGACAUUCUGUUUGCUAAAGGUAAGCUGGUUUCAGCUCCAUUUGGUAGCACAUAUGCACAACCUUGCUCUGUUUCUCUGUCUGUCCUGGACUGCAGCAGGGUGCUAAGCAUCAAGGCAGCUUAGAAGAUGAUCACAGAGAGGUACAAUAUUCUUUUACUUCUAUACGAUGUGUUUGUGUCAAAGUUACCCAGCAAGAAAGCCUGAUUCUAUCAGCUAAAGGAGAAAUGUUUAAUUUACCAGGUCAUUCAAGCAGUGACC